rfam:Bacillus sp. HMSC76G11 genomic scaffold Scaffold1112, whole genome shotgun sequence.
CGGGUAGUAUCCUUAAUUGGAACUGCACCUGCACUUAGUUUUAUCACAUAUUUGAAUAAAAGUUCUGCCUUGAUCCGGAAUGCGGACUGGGACAGAGGG